UACGUAGGGUGCAAGCGUUGUCCGGAAUUAUUGGGCGUAAAGAGCUCGUAGGCGGUUUGUAGCGUCGGCUGUGAAAACUCGGGGCUCAACCCCGAGCCUGCAGUCGAUACGGGCAGACUAGAGUGCUGUAGGGGAGACUGGAAUUCCUGGUGUAGCGGUGAAAUGCGCAGAUAUCAGGAGGAACACCGGUGGCGAAGGCGGGUAUCUGGGCAGUAACUGACGCUGAGGAGCGAAAGCGUGGGGAGCAAACAGG
rnacentral:rRNA from 1 species